rnacentral:rRNA from 1 species
CGUUAACGCUGGCGGUAGGCCUAACACAUGCAAGUCGAACGGCAGCACAGUAAGAGCUUGCUCUUACGGGUGGCGAGUGGCGGACGGGUGAGGAAUACAUCGGAAUCUACUUUUUCGUGGGGGAUAACGUAGGGAAACUUACGCUAAUACCGCAUACGACCUACGGGUGAAAGCAGGGGAUCUUCGGACCUUGCGCGAUUGAAUGAUCCGAUGUCGGAUUAGCUAGUUGGCGGGGUAAAGGCCCACCAAGGCGACGAUCCGUAGCUGGUCUGAGAGGAUGAUCAGACACACUGGAACUGAGACACGGUCCAGACUCCUACGGGAGGCAGCAGUGGGGAAUAUUGGACAAUGGGCGCAAGCCUGAUCCAGCCAUACCGCGUGGGUGAAGAAGGCCUUCGGGUUGUAAAGCCCUUUUGUUGGGAAAGAAAAGCAGCAGGUUAAUACCCCGCUGUUCUGACGGUACCCAAAGAAUAAGCACCGGCUAACUUCGUG